AACGAACGCUGGCGGCAGGCUUAACACAUGCAAGUCGAGCGAGACCUUCGGGUCUAGCGGCGGACGGGUGAGUAACGCGUGGGAACGUGCCCUUCUCUACGGAAUAGCCCCGGGAAACUGGGAGUAAUACCGUAUACGCCCUUUGGGGGAAAGAUUUAUCGGAGAAGGAUCGGCCCGCGUUGGAUUAGGUAGUUGGUGGGGUAAUGGCCCACCAAGCCGACGAUCCAUAGCUGGUUUGAGAGGAUGAUCAGCCACACUGGGACUGAGACACGGCCCAGACUCCUACGGGAGGAAGCAGUGGGGACUCUUAGACAAUGGGGGCAACCCUGAUCUAGCCAUGCCGCGUGAGUGAUGAAGGCCUUAGGGUUGUAAAGCUCUUUCAGCUGGGAAGAUAAUGACGGUACCAGCAGAAGAAGCCCCGGCUAACUACGUG
rnacentral:rRNA from 1 species